rnacentral:rRNA from 1 species
AGUGAACGCUGGCGGUAGGCCUAACACAUGCAAGUCGAACGGCAGCACAGGAGAGCUUGCUCUCUGGGUGGCGAGUGGCGGAUGGGUGAGGAAUACAUCGGAAUCUACUCUGUCGUGGGGGAUAACGUAGGGAAACUUACGCUAAUACCGCAUACGACCUACGGGUGAAAGCAGGGGAUCUUCGGACCUUGCGCGAUUGAAUGAGCCGAUGUCGGAUUAGCUAGUUGGCGGGGUAAAGGCCCACCAAGGCGACGAUCCGUAGCUGGUCUGAGAGGAUCAUCAGCCACACUGGAACUGAGACACGGUCCAGACUCCUACGGGAGGCAGCAGUGGGGAAUAUUGGACAAUGGGCGCAAGCCUGAUCCAGACAUACCGCGUGGGUGAAGAAGGCCUUCGGGUUGUAAAGCCCUUUUGUUGGGAAAGAAAUCCAGCUGGCUAAUACCCGGUUGGGAUGACGGUACCCAAAGAAUAAGCACCGGCUAACUUCGUGCCAGCCGCCGCCGUAA